rnacentral:lncRNA from 1 species
GGUGUUUGUCUCCUGGGAUGCUGUGGGGUUGACCCUGGAUAGCAUUCACGGUCAUUAGCUCAUGGUGUUCUUGGGAGACAUUUGAAGUCAGCUGGUGUCCUGCUGAUGGAGCUGCUGAGUUCAGCAUCACAUCGACAUAAUUUCAUGAUGCGUUUGCAUGAAGGGCUUUGGUGCCAUUUCUGAGUGAACAGGAAACCAGUAGGAGGCUAUCGCAGUCAUCCAGCUGAGGAAAGAUGACUUGACACUUCAGAAGCCUCCUGAAUCCUAUUCUGGCCCAUCGUGGCAUGGUCAGCAGAUGAGAAACAGAUGGACUGGUGUGUGGUGGGAGGAAGCUGUCCUGGUCGAGCUCUGCUUCAGGCCAGUCCUUUCUGAGAUUGGAGAAGUGAGAAGAGGAGCAGAGAGACCAGCUGGGAGCUGCUGUAGUAACCCAGGUGAGGGAGAUGGUGGUCUGGACCAGUGCUUCGCAUGGAGGUGGACAGAAGUGAUAUAACUGAUUUAAGUCAACCAGCUGCUUGAUCCAAAUAAUGCCAAAUGAG